UUAUCAUGUAUUUUUUUAAGAAAUUUAACUAUUUUCGUAUAAACGCUUUUAUGGUGAAUGUAAGCUAGUGAAUGAUACUAAAUCAUCAUCCCAGCAAAUACAAUACACAUUGAUGCCAACUUAUAUGCUCAUUAUUAUUUAAUCACCAAUAUUCAAAAAGUUAUUAACAUUAUUCACUUUGCCCAGCUAUCCGCUUUACCCUGGUCUCCCCUACAAUGCACAUUACAUGUUUUAUUCACAAGUUCCUUGUACGAAUAGUCCAAAUAUCAAAAAUUCCACAUGUCUCUAUAGAGACUAUAGUACGCAUAUUUUCUAGACAUAAAUAAUUAUUUUAUCAUUGGUUCGGAAAAUCCAAGUAAAACCUUCGUAAAUAUUUAGUCGUAAGAGUGUGCGACACAUAAAUAUUACGAAAUAUUGUGAAUAUAUUAUCGUAGUCAUGUACCUUACGCUUAUCGUUUAUGAUUACUAAAAGGCUGGUGAUAUGAUAUAAUACAGUGUUAUUGAGUUAGGCACUAUAAAUUCGGGUUUAGGUUCAAGUUCGGUUUUAUUUGCGCAAAGUGGCUCGUACAGAUCUGAUUUGCGCAAUUAUAUUAUGAUCGAGUGAGCGAAUAUUUGAACAACAAUUUUUAUUUGUACAAUUGACGCGAAUUCUGUCACUGCCUGAAAACAAAACUGUGACUGUCACAAACGAAGACGGAUAUUUGAACGUUUAAACUGUUAUUUUAUGUUUGUACAAGUGCUAUGGUGUGAACCACCAGUACAUUAUAUUUCAUAUUUAAUUUUCAUAUAAAUUUAUUAUACUAAUUGUAGUAUAUCCAAGACGUGUAUAGUGUUACGUUCGUUAAGUAUUAUUACGGAGGCUCAACACAUAAUAUAAUAUCUGUUUUUUAUUACUUUUCAAAAUGUACAGUACAAUGCUUCGGGGCGGUAGGCAGUUAUGAUACCAGUGUCGAAGCGGUCUCGUUUUUCACAUAGUCCGCGUAUCGUUAUACUUGCAGAUCAUCGACCUUUAAUACAGCUCUAAGCAUGGUUCGAAUCGAGUGAAAACGAUACGAAAAAAAAAAACUUCACAGAAGGUGACCCAUCUGGGACCUAUAUUGUAACGAUUACACGGUUAAUAUCAUGUAUACUAAAGUAUCUAAUUUAACGACUCACUGCGCCAUGUCGACCUACCUAUACAAACGGAUUUUUGUUCGAAAAUCCGUACACCUCGAUUCUCUUACACGUCAAGUCUAUACGCGUACAAAAUUCACGCUAGCAGAUGGGUGAUAAUUAAAUAAUAUUAUGUCGAACACUCCGACCUCCAGCAUACGAUGUCUAUUGAGAAUUCAUGAACAUUGAUGUAUUUAUGAAAACAAAUUAUCAUGAUUCGAUAUCAUUAUAAUAUUAUUAUACCGAUCAUAAUGUUGUUUCAAAAAAUUCAUUUUAAA